GAUGAACGCUGACAGCAUGCUUAACACAUCAGCAAUUGAUUGGUGGCGGACGGGUGAGUAACGCGUAAAGAACUUGCCUCACAACUAGGGACAACAUUUGGAAAAGAAUGCUAAUACCUAAUACUGUGAGAGAGCUUUGCGUCCCAUUAGCUAGUUGGUGAGGUAACGGCUCACCAAGGCGAUGAUGGGUAGCCGGCCUGAGAGGGUGAUCGGCCACAGAGGGACUGAGACACGGGCCUUACUCCUACGGGAGGCAGCAGUGGGUAUGAGAGGACGAUGGACCACAGUCUGAACCAGCAAUUCUGUGUGCACGAUGAAGUUUUCGGAAUGUAAAGUGCUUUCAGUUGGGAAGCGGUACCAACAGAAGAAGUGACGGCUAAAUACGUGCCAGCAGCCGCGGUAAUAC
rnacentral:rRNA from 1 species